AUUGAACGCUGGCGGCAGGCCUAACACAUGCAAGUCGAGCGGAUGAAGGGAGCUUGCUCCUGGCUUCAGCGGCGGACGGGUGAGUAAUGCCUAGGAAUCUGCCUGGUAGUGGGGGAUAACGUCCGUAAACGGGCGCUAAUACCGCAUACGUCCUGAGGGAGAAAGGGGGGGAUCUUCGGACCUCACGCUAUCAGAUGAGCCUAGUUCGCAUUAGCUAGUUGGUGGGGUAAAGGCCUACCAAGGCGACGAUCCGUAACUGGUCUGAGAGGAUGAUCAGUCACACUGGAACUGAGACACGGUCCAGACUCCUACGGGAGGCAGCAGUGGGGAAUAUUGGACAAUGGGCGAAAGCCUGAUCCAGCCAUGCCGCGUGUGUGAAGAAGGUCUUCGGAUCGUAAAGCACUUUAAGUUGGGAGGAAGGGCAGUAAGUUAAUCCCUUGCUGUUUUGACGGUACCAAAAGAAUAAGCACCGGCUAACUUCGUG
rnacentral:rRNA from 1 species